GGCACCAUCGUGUUUCUCGCGAACUUACACAUAAGAAUCAACAGACAAAUCGCAAAUUCUUCACACAUGCAACAUCUCCAUUAUUGAAACGGACAGACACAGUGAUUGACGAAAGAAAGUGAAGUGAUCCUAUUGGUUGGAACAGGUGGCUCUUGAUCUGGCUCAAUCAGUAGGUGCAAACUAUCUUAAAGAAACUGGCAUUUUUAGGAGGCUGUUGAUUUAAAUGGGCCGAAAGUCAUCGGGGAGGAGAGAAAGUGUGUCAACGGGUAUGUCCUAGUGGAUAGUCUGAGGGAAUCAUCCCGCUACAAAACGCCUGCAAUUGUGCGUGUAGGCAAUUUGGCAGAAAUUUACCAAGCGGAAAA